UGUUUCGGCAAGGGGGUCAUCCCGACUUACCAACCCGAUGCAAACUGCGAAUACCGGAGAAUGUUAUCACGGGAGACACACGGCGGGUGCUAACGUCCGUCGUGAAGAGGGAAACAACCCAGACCGCCAGCUAAGGUCCCAAAGUCAUGGUUAAGUGGGAAACGAUGUGGGAAGGCCCAGACAGCCAGGAUGUUGGCUUAGAAGCAGCCAUCAUUUAAAGAAAGCGUAAUAGCUCACUGGUCGAGUCGGCCUGCGCGGAAGAUGUAACGGGGCUAAACCAUGCACCGAAGCUGCGGCAGCGACGCUUAUGCGUUGUUGGGUAGGGGAGCGUUCUGUAAGCCUGUGAAGGUGUGCUGUGAGGCAUGCUGGAGGUAUCAGAAGUGCGAAUGCUGACAUAAGUAACGAUAAAGCGGGUGAAAAGCCCGCUCGCCGGAAGACCAAGGGUUCCUGUCCAACGUUAAUCGGGGCAGGGUGAGUCGACCCCUAAGGCGAGGCCGAAAGGCGUAGUCGAUGGGAAACAGGUUAAUAUUCCUGUACUUGGUGUUACUGCGAAGGGGGGACGGAGAAGGCUAUGUUGGCCGGGCGACGGUUGUCCCGGUUUAAGCGUGUAGGCUGGUUUUCCAGGCAAAUCCGGAAAAUCAAGGCUGAGGCGUGAUGACGAGGCACUACGGUGCUGAAGCAACAAAUGCCCUGCUUCCAGGAAAAGCCUCUAAGCAUCAGGUAACAUCAAAUCGUACCCCAAACCGACACAGGUGGUCAGGUAGAGAAUACCAAGGCGCUUGAGAGAACUCGGGUGAAGGAACUAGGCAAAAUGGUGCCGUAACUUCGGGAGAAGGCACGCUGAUAUGUAGGUGAAGCGACUUGCUCGUGGAGCUGAAAUCAGUCGAAGAUACCAG
rnacentral:rRNA from 1 species